UUUUGAGAAGUCAUUCCUUUAUCUUGCCAGAAAACUUGCAGGGGACCCUAACCUUCACUUUGUCGAAUCACCUGCACUGGCACCUCCUGAAGUUCAGAUUGACUUGGCUGCACAGCAACA